rnacentral:misc_RNA from 1 species
UUUCCGUAGGUCAACCUGCGGAAGGAUCAUUGACGAACCCUGCAUAGCAGAACAACCAGCGAACACAUUGAAAAACACAUUUGGGGGAUGCGUGCAUGGGACAAGGCAACAGCCCCCCAUGCAUGCGGCCCCUUCCUUGUGGUGUCGGAGCAAUCGAGCGAAAGCGCGUGAGCUUUGUCCCCCAAGAAACAAAACCCCAGCGCAAUUCGCGCCAAGGAAAACUUUAAACUCAAGGACGUGCUCUCCUCACGUUGCCCCCGUUUACGGGUGCGCGACUGGGUGUUUGCCAACUCCUUAGUGAAAACACAAACGACUCUCUACAAUGGAUAUCUCGGCUCUC